AAGGAUCAUUACCGAGUGAGGGCCCUCUGGGUCCAACCUCCCACCCGUGUCUAUCGUACCUUGUUGCUUCGGCGGGCCCGCCGUUUCGACGGCCGCCGGGGAGGCCUUGCGCCCCCGGGCCCGCGCCCGCCGAAGACCCCAACAUGAACGCUGUUCUGAAAGUAUGCAGUCUGAGUUGAUUAUCGUAAUCAGUUAAAACUUUCAACAACGGAUCUCUUGGUUCCGGCAUCGAUGAAGAACGCAGCGAAAUGCGAUAAGUAAUGUGAAUUGCAGAAUUCAGUGAAUCAUCGAGUCUUUGAACGCACAUUGCGCCCCCUGGUAUUCCGGGGGGCAUGCCUGUCCGAGCGUCAUUGCUGCCCUCAAGCACGGCUUGUGUGUUGGGCCCCCGUCCCCCUCUCCCGGGGGACGGGCCCGAAAGGCAGCGGCGGCACCGCGUCCGGUCCUCGAGCGUAUGGGGCUUUGUCACCUGCUCUGUAGGCCCGGCCGGCGCCAGCCGACACCCAACUUUAUUUUUCUAAGGUUGACCUCGGAUCAGGUAGGGAUACCCGCUGAACUUAAGCAUAUCAAUAAGCCGGAGGAA
rnacentral:rRNA from 1 species